UGCAGUGGCACGAUCUCAUGAAGUUUUAAGAAAAGCCUCAAGAAUGGCCUCAUGGAAGUUUUUGCUAUGCCUUCAGUUCUGUCACAGUCUUUACAGGUGUUUUUGUCUAACUCUCCCUCAGGAUCACACCAAAAAGCCUUGGUCAUUCAGCAUGGUGCCUGACCUUCAGCAAAUAUUGGGAGCCUCCGAUUCCUGCUGCUUCUAGUCUGCCAUCUUUGCCACACCCCCAGAAAAUUCUGACUAUUCAAUUUCUACUAUACCAAAAUUAGGCUCCUCCUCCCGCUAAGUAAAAGUGGUGACAACAUGGGUGUAUGGACAUUCAUUCCCACCUUCAGCGGAAGGAGGAUAUGUGUUUUGAGAAAUGGUACUAGAGCAAUUCAACAUAGAAGAAAAGAAGAGAAGAUAAAGGAGAAGAGGAGGAAGAGGAAGAAGAAGGAGGAGGAAGAAGAAAAAG